CUGAGAGGCACACCCUCUGGGUAGUUAGGCGACAAGUGGCUAGUAGCCUGCUGACUACAGACCUGUACAGGUAUUGGUGGUGAAUGUAGGAGACGUAUAUAGUGUGAGAACAUAAUGAGUUCUCGACGAAGAUGCAAUAUGGAUGCUGCGAGGUCCCCAUGGGCCAGGGAGCGUGCAUCGAUAAUUAUGAAAUAUGAAAGGGGUCCUCAAAAA